GUGGGGAAUAUUGGACAAUGGGGGAAACCCUGAUCCAGCGACGCCGCGUGAACGAAGAAGUAUUUCGGUAUGUAAAGUUCUAUCAGCAGGGAAGAUAAUGACGGUACCUGACUAAGAAGCACCGGCUAAAUACGUGCCAGCAGCCGCGGUAAUACGUAUGGUGCAAGCGUUAUCCGGAUUUACUGGGUGUAAAGGGUGCGUAGGUGGAAUGGUAAGUCAGAUGUGAAAACUAUGGGCUCAACCCAUAGACUGCAUUUGAAACUGCCGAUCUAGAGUGCAGGAGAGGAAAGUGGAAUUCCUAGUGUAGCGGUGAAAUGCGUAGAUAUUAGGAGGAACACCAGUGGCGAAGGCGGCUUUCUGGACUGUUACUGACACUGAGGCACGAAAGCGUGGGGAGCAAACAGG
rnacentral:rRNA from 1 species